ACAAUUCACACACAUUCAUUCACACUUCACACACGAGCUUCUUCCUCACGAGCUGCUUCUUCUCUGGUCGCACGAGCUUCUUUCGCCAUUGCCGCCGUUCGCAUCGCACUAUCUCUCUGUCAUCCCUUGCGUCGCACGAGCUCCUUCCGCUGUCGCUCUCGUGUCGUCUCCUCCCUUGGUCGCCAUCGUUGCAGAGCUCCCUCCGCCGCUCUCGUUGCGUCGUGCUCCCUUCAUCGCCGUUGUCACAGAGCUCUCUCCGCUGCCGCUCUUGUUGCGUUUGCUCCCUUAGUGAAUUUCAAGUAUAAUCUGAUUUUGUGAUUUUAGUGCUUAGAGCUCAAUUUUUCUGUGCCAAUUUUAGGUUUAUCAAUUUUUCUUCGCAAUUUCUAUCUUCUUGUUGUUGUUGAUGCUGAUUGAGCUUGGUGUAGGUUUAUCAAUUAUUUUACUAUCAGCGAAGAAAGAGAUUUUUUUGUCGGUCAUGUCUGCAGCGAUUCGUGAAAACCUCAGCCCAACUCGGUGAAAACUCGGUGGUUGUUGUUGAAUGGCGAAGCUUGAAGCGAAGCUCGGAAUGAUAGUUGACUCCGUUGGUAACUUCUUCUCUGGCAAAGACCAGCUUCCCUUGUGUGACCCUGCUCUAAAUGCAAGUGGUCUUGACAAAUUUUUUAAAUCAAUAGGAAGAAAUCCCUCAUAUGUUGAUUUGGAGGAAGUUUGCAGACAAGAUUGCAGCUUCUAGUUACUAUGUGGUUGUUCCAGACUUCUUUUAUGGUUGGAGAAGAUGUCGUGGGAGAACUAACCAAGUCGAUGCAAAAAAUUGGCUUGGAUAUGCGAGUUUUAGCUCUAGUUAAUGAUACCAUUGGAACACUAGCUGGAGGCAGAUUCUACAAUCAGGAUGUCAUUGCUGCUGUGAUCCUUGGUACAGGGACAAAUGCAGCAUAUGUGGAACGUGCAAAUGCUAUUCCAAAAUGGCAUGGCCCUCUCCCAAAAUCAGGAGACAUGGUUAUAAACAUGGAGUGGGGUAAUUUCCGAUCCUCACAUCUUCCUCUAACAGAAUAUGACGUAGCUGUAGAUGCUGAGAGCUUAAACCCUGGAGAGCAGAUAUUUGAGAAGUUGAUUUCUGGUAUGUAUUUGGGGGACAUUGUAAGGAUAGCUUUAUUGAAGAUGGCUGAAGAAGCUGACUUUUUCGGAGAUACAGUUCCCCUCAAGUUGAGAGUUGCUUUCAUACUCAGAAAUUGAAGACACUCGCUACAGAACAGCUUUCUUGGAUGGUGAUUCUGUUGUGAACCUUCCACUGUUUCGCCUUCAAGGUAUAUCAUUAUUAUCUGUGUUUAUGCUGCUUCUGCUCUUCAUUAUUGUACACAAUCAAGGCAUCUAUAUAUUGAUACUGCAUGAAGAUUUGAAAGCUCUAGCACAACGAUAUCACUCUUUAUAGGUUCUCUCUUGAAUGGAGUGCAGGAGACAGCACAAAAUCCUGAGAAAGGUGGAACAUUUGUGACUAAUAGAGAGCGAGCAUAUGGAGAUUCAUCUUUCCAGGAUUGCAAGCUAGCCUCUGAGGAAGCAAUGGAUACAAUAGUUAAAAACUUGCAGGUUUUGUUCCUUCACCUUUGCCAAGCCUUUGGACUUGGGCCAAUCAAGCAAAACAAGCCUGGGGCCAGCUUAGAUGCAUUUAUCUAUUUUGUUACUCUUGUGACUUAGUUUAAUCUUUUAUACCUCUAUAAUUUGCUUUAUUUAAGUGUUGAUUUGUGUUUCUCUGCCUCCCUUAUCAACUUAUACAUUGGCAUAUAUAAUGCCCUUGUUGAAUUGCUAUAUGUUUCGAGCUGUCGAGUGAGGAUUGGCUGAACGUACUUAGUGACCAACUACCAUUUUACUAACUAAUAAUAUUCAAUAGGAUUAGCUGACAUUAGCUAUCCUUCUAAACAUGGCUAAGACUUAAAAGUAUAUAGAUUACAGUUAACUUAAAAUCUCUAAUGUUUUACUGGAAAGGAUAACUGAUGCUACAAUUUGACUUUUUCCCCCUCUAACCAUGGAAAGCUAUUUUCAAAUUCUGAAUCAAUACAAAAGAGAGCUGAAGCUGCAGUGCUCCUUAAGCAGUUGGAAUAUCCGAUUUGUUUUGAUUUUAUUUAUAUUAAAAAUUAGCCAAAAUUUAUCUCAUUUUUAGCAUUCUUUAAUUUUUAGCCAAAACUUUAAAAUAUUAUUUGCUUAUUCGUGUAGGCUAAAGAAUGUAGCUUCAAGAAUUGGCUUCAUUUUUUUUUUUGGCUUUUUCGCAUUCCAAAAGUUUGUGUAACCCUUUCUAGUCUGUGUAAUCCUUGCUAAUUCCACUCUGCAUCUCACCAACACUAGAUGCUUCUCCCAUGCUCCAUCACCUUCUCCCUCUCAGAGUUCCAAAGCUAAUGAUAAAGAUCCUCAUUCAGGUCCAUCUUUCUUGAAGGACAACGAGCUCGCCAAGUUUGCCGCCAUUUCUGAUACCUG